UUUGAAAUCUGACCCCCUGGGGCCCGAGUUGUAAUUUGGAGAGGAUGCCUCGGUGGAGGCCCCGGCCGAAGUGCCUUUGAACGGGCCGUCAGAGAGGGUGAGAACCCCGUCCGCGGUCGCCGGCCCCCACCGUGUGAGGCUCCUUCGACGAGUCGAGUUGUUUGGGAAUGCAGCUCUAAAUGGGAGGUAAAUUCCUUCCAAGGCUAAAUAUCCGCCAGAGACCGAUAGCGCACAAGUAGAGUGAUCGAAAGGUGAAAAGCACUUUGAAAAGAGGGUGAAACAGCACGUGAAAUUGUUGAAAGGGAAGCGCUUGCAACCAGAGUCGUCCGCGGGGGCUCCACCGACCCUCGGGCCCGGUGUACUCCCCCGCGGCCGAGCCAGCAUCAGCUCGGCCGGUCGGAUAAAGGCCGUGGGAAUGUGACACCCUCGGGUGUGUUAUAGCCCGCGGCACAAUACGGCCUGGCCGGGCUGAGGUCAGCGCCUUUGGCACGGAUGCUGGCGUAAUGGUUGUCAGCGGCCCGUCUUGAAACACGGACCAAGGAGUCUAACAUCUAUGCGAGUGUUCGGGUGUCAAACCCGUGAGCGGAAUGAAAGUGAACGGAGGUGGGAGCCCUCGGGCGCACCAUCGACCGAUCCGGAUGUCUUCGGAUGGAUUUGAGUAUGAGCAUAGCUGUUGGGACCCGAAAGAUGGUGAACUAUGCGUGAAUAGGGUGAAGCCAGAGGAAACUCUGGUGGAGGCUCGCAGCGGUUCUGACGUGCAAAUCGAUCGUCAAAUUUGCGCAUAGGGG
rnacentral:rRNA from 1 species